GCCCACUUGGCCAAGUGGCUACGGCACUCCACUCGUAUAAUAAGAUAAGUGAUGGAGCGAUCGUCGGUUCGAUUCCGACAGUGGGCA